rnacentral:lncRNA from 13 species
GAGAAGGGGAAAUCUACCAAGUAUGCUUUAGGGGGAGAAGGGAAAUCUACAAAGUAUGCUUUAGGGAGAGGGGGAAAUCUACCAAGUAUGCUUCAGGGGAGAAGGGGAAAUCUACCAAGUAUGCUUCAGGGGAGAAGGAGAAAUCUACCAAGUACGCUUCAGGGGAGAAGGGGAAAUCUACCAAGUAUGCUUCAGGGGAGAAGGGGAAGUCUACCAAGAAUGCUUUAGGAGAAAAAGGGGAAAUUACAAAGUAUGUUUUAGGGAGAAGGGAAAUCUACAAAGCAUGCUUUAGGAGAGAAGCGAAAAUCUAGUGCCUUUUUUAAAACUUCAUUAAGUACAAUGAACACACAAUGCUCCUGCCAACCUGGCUCUCCCUCAUCCUACGUCACCCUGGGUUGAAAUCAGCUGCAUAGAAAAAUACUUCUAUCCUGGCCGCAGCAAAUCAGAAAGGAAGUCUCACAAGUCACAUAGUCAGAACACAGUCUUCAGGAAGCCUGGGAAAGCGGCCCUGCAGUCAUUGCUGCUUUUGCUCUGUCACUCCUACCUUGCCUGCACAGCUGGGGCUCUAUUGGGGGAUUCUUUCCUCUGGAGUACCCACCCAGAGGCUAGCCAAGGCCUGCACUGAAGACUGGGACUACAUGCUGUACUGUCCUCUCCCUUGGGUGGAGACUUAGUAGGAGGCCCUCUGUGUAAAUAAAGAGCUUCCAUUUAGACAGCACCACCUGGCAUGGUUCCCUUUCACGAUUAAUUGCAGUGUUUUUUCUUUUAAUUUGACAGGGCUUAUAGCCAUGUGGUUCCCAAGCCAUGUGAUUCUCAAGUAUUUCACCUGGCCAUGUCUUACAGACUCAGCGAUGCUCUCAGCAUGUGUGAGGGGGUCUACAGAAAUCUCAUCCACACUCAAGUCUUCCCAACUGCUCAAUUCCAGCUUUGCGGGGUGCUUUUAAGCAGCUGUGCCUACCUAAGCAGCGUGUCGCUAUUUCACAGACUUGGCUUCCCCAACGGCAGCAGGUGGAGACUCCAUGUGUGGCUGGGAAAGGCCUGACUCAUUCCCAGCCCUGCUCUCCCGGAUGUUCCUGCCCCUCAGCUCAUCGCUGGUUCUCCUGCUGCAGACUCACCGUGCCUCCCACGUCACCACAUUGUUCCGUCCUGGCAGCACAUUCAUUCAUUACAUCUCGGAUCCUGAGUUUUCUCCUGAAAUGUAAUUCUACAUUUUUACAACUUCCUAAAUAUUUCCCCUUGAUCCCCUAUCACUUCA